rnacentral:rRNA from 1 species
ACGUUGAUAGGUCAGGUGUGGAAGUGCAGUAAUGCAUUAAGCUAACUGAUACUAAUUGCCCGUACGGCUUGUCCCUAUAACCUUGCCGGUUAUAU